rnacentral:rRNA from 1 species
GAUGAACGCUGGCGGCGUGCCUAAUACAUGCAAGUCGAGCGAACGGACGAGAAGCUUGCUUUUCUGAUGUUAGCGGCGGACGGGUGAGUAACACGUGGAUAACCUACCUAUAAGACUGGGAUAACUUCGGGAAACCGGAGCUAAUACCGGAUAAUAUUUUGAACCGCAUGGUUCAAAAGUGAAAGACGGUCUUGCUGUCACUUAUAGAUGGAUCCGCGCUGCAUUAGCUAGUUGGUAAGGUAACGGCUUACCAAGGCAACGAUGCAUAGCCGACCUGAGAGGGUGAUCGACCACACUGGAACUGAGACACGGUCCAGACUCCUACGGGAGGCAGCAGUAGGGAAUCUUCCGCAAUGGGCGAAAGCCUGACGGAGCAACGCCGCGUGAGUGAUGAAGGUCUUCGGAUCGUAAAACUCUGUUAUUAGGGAAGAACAUAUGUGUAAGUAACUGUGCACAUCUUGACGGUACCUAAUCAGAAAGCCACGGCUAACUACGUG